rnacentral:rRNA from 1 species
AGAGUUUGAUCCUGGCUCAGGAUGAACGCUGGCGGCGUGCUUAACACAUGCAAGUCGAGCGAAGCACUUGUGACGAUCCCUCCGGGGUGAGGAGCAUUUGAUGAGCGGCGGACGGGUGAGUAACGCGUGGGCAACCUGCCCCAUACCGGGGGAUAACAGUUAGAAAUGACUGCUAAUACCGCAUAAGCGCACAGCGCCGCAUGGCGCAGUGUGAAAAGCCCCGGCAGUAUGGGAUGGGCCCGCGUCUGAUUAGGUAGUUGGUAAGGUAACGGCUUACCAAGCCGACGAUCAGUAGCCGGCCUGAGAGGGUGGACGGCCACAUUGGGACUGAGACACGGCCCAAACUCCUACGGGAGGCAGCAGUGGGGAAUAUUGCACAAUGGGCGCAAGCCUGAUGCAGCGACGCCGCGUGAGCGAAGAAGUAUUUCGGUAUGUAAAGCUCUAUCAGCAGGGAAGAAAAUGACGGUACCUGAGUAAGAAGCCCCGGCUAACUACGUGCCAGCAGCCGCGGUAAUACGUAGGGGGCAAGCGUUAUCCGGAUUUACUGGGUGUAAAGGGAGCGUAGACGGCGUAUCAAGUCUGGUGUGAAAGGCAGGGGCCCAACCCCUGGACUGCAUUGGAAACUGGUAUGCUUGAGUGCCGGAGGGGUAAGCGGAAUUCCUAGUGUAGCGGUGAAAUGCGUAGAUAUAGGAGGAACACCAGUGGCGAAGGCGGCUUACUGGACGGUAACUGACGUUGAGGCUCGAAAGCGUGGGGAGCAAACAGGAUUAGAUACCCUGGUAGUCCACGCCGUAAACGAU